ACGUGUCGCCGAGUCAUUACCCCAACCGUAAGGAGGGGGAUGCCUAAGGUAGGACUGGUGACUGGGGUGAAGUCGUAACAAGGUAGCCGUACCGGAAGGUGUGGCUGGAUCACCUCCUUUUUAGGGAGACCUACCCAUUCAGAGAGUGAACAAUUGAUAUUAGCUCCUGAUGUGGUCAUACCCUAGGUCGGUCGAGAUUGGUAAACUUUCAAAGUAUUAUUCAUGUUCAGGAUAUUUUUCAAAACCUGAACACAAGGUUAAGGAAGAGAUUCAGCACCUGUGUUGUGCACAGAAUGCUGGAUGAAAAUCCAGUCAGAACCAUGAAAACUGCAUAGGAAAGCGAGAAAAAGAAAAGCAGGCAGUGAGAUGUCGAUAAAGACAAAAAACUGCGGAUUUUCAACCAAUGAAAAGUGGUCAAGCUAAUAAGGGCUAAUGGUGGAUACCUAGGCACACGAAAGGGCAAAGAAACCUCCACAU
rnacentral:misc_RNA from 1 species